rnacentral:rRNA from 1 species
UACCAGCACCCCGAGUGGUCGGGACGUUUAUUGGUCCUAAAGCAUCCGUAGCCGGUUCUACAAGUCUUCCGUUAAAUCCAACUGCUUAACAGGUGGGCUGCGGAAGAUACUAUAGAGCUAGGAGGCGGGAGAGGCAAGCGGUACUCGAUGGGUAGGGGUAAAAUCCGUUGAUCCAUUGAAGACCACCAGUGGCGAAGGCGGCUUGCCAGAACGCGCUCGACGGUGAGGGAUGAAAGCUGGGGGAGCAAACCGG